rnacentral:rRNA from 1 species
UACGUAGGGUGCGAGCGUUGUCCGGAUUUAUUGGGCGUAAAGAGCUCGUAGGCGGUUUGUCGCGUCUGCUGUGAAAACCCGGGGCUUAACCCCUGGCUUGCAGUGGAUACGGACAGACUAGAGGUAGGUAGGGGAGAAUGGAAUUCCCGGUGUAGCGGUGAAAUGCGCAGAUAUCGGGAGGAACACCAGUGGCGAAGGCGGCGAUCUGGGAAGAUACUGACGCUGAGGUGCGAAAGCGUGGGGAGCAAACAGG